rnacentral:rRNA from 1 species
GACGAACGCUGGCGGCGUGCUUAACACAUGCAAGUCGAACGGAAAGGCCCUGCUUUUGUUGGGUGCUCGAGUGGCGAACGGGUGAGUAACACGUGAGUAACCUGCCCUUGACUUUGGGAUAACUUCAGGAAACUGGGGCUAAUACCGGAUAGGAGCUCCUGCUGCAUGGUGGGGGUUGGAAAGUUUCGGCGGUUGGGGAUGGACUCGCGGCUUAUCAGCUUGUUGGUGGGGUAGUGGCUUACCAAGGCUUUGACGGGUAGCCGGCCUGAGAGGGUGACCGGCCACAAUGGGACUGAGAGACGGCCCAGACUCCUACGGGAGGCAGCAGUGGGGAAUAUUGCACAAUGGGCGGAAGCCUGAUGCAGCAACGCCGCGUGCGGGAUGACGGCCUUCGGGUUGUAAACCGCUUUCGCCUGUGACGAAGCGUGAGUGACGGUAAUGGGUAAAGAAGCACCGGCUAACUACGUG